rnacentral:rRNA from 1 species
GUGGGGAAUAUUGGACAAUGGGCGAAAGCCUGAUCCAGCCAUGCCGCGUGUGUGAAGAAGGUCUUCGGAUUGUAAAGCACUUUAAGUUGGGAGGAAGGGCAGUAAGUUAAUACCUUGCUGUUUUGACGUUACCGACAGAAUAAGCACCGGCUAACUUCGUGCCAGCAGCCGCGGUAAUACGAAGGGUGCAAGCGUUAAUCGGAAUUACUGGGCGUAAAGCGCGCGUAGGUGGUUUUGUAAGUUGGAGGUGAAAUCCCCGGGCUCAACCUGGGAACUGCCUCCAGAACUGCAUGACUAGAGUACGGUAGAGGGUAGUGGAAUUUCCUGUGUAGCGGUGAAAUGCGUAGAUAUAGGAAGGAACACCAGUGGCGAAGGCGACUACCUGGACUGAUACUGACACUGAGGUGCGAAAGCGUGGGGAGCAAACAGGAUUAGAAACCCUUGUAGUCC